rnacentral:lncRNA from 1 species
AGACCUUGGCAGAGAGCGCCCUGGGAAAUGCGGAUAUAGAAGGUCAGGAGAACAUCUCUCCUGGUUAUACAGCAUUCCAGGUGGGCUUUCAUGUGGUUGAGGAUAAUAUCAUUAGCACCAAAGGUGAAAAUCCGUGGAAGCUCAUCUUAUUUCAGCAGAAGAGUAGGAUGGGCCUUGUGGCACGAGUAAGCCAAACAAGGGAAAGGCAUUCACCAUCAAUUGACUCCUCAUCUGUUUUUAAGAGGGAAAUCUGAGUUUUCAAGGAAAGCCGAAUACAGUUGCCAAGUUGCCAGUCAAAGAAACAAUGUCAACACCUGCUCAUAGAGAUGGAAUUCCUAACCCGGAAUAUUGCCCUUGAAUUACAACGAGAAAAAGCACCUCUUCAAGUGAGAUGGCAGACCACCUCAGGAUGGAAAUGUAUUUCUUCAUCCCCCUCUCUACUUCCCUGUGACCUCCUGCAAAUAAGAUAUUCAUGGAUCCAAGCCUA